UCUAGCUUGCUAGAGAUGAUUAGUGGCGGACGGGUGAGUAACAUUUAGGAAUCUGCCUAGUAGUGGGGGAUAGCUCGGGGAAACUCGAAUUAAUACCGCAUACGACCUACGGGUGAAAGGGGGCGCAAGCUCUUGCUAUUAGAUGAGCCUAAAUCAGAUUAGCUAGUUGGUGGGGUAAAGGCCCACCAAGGCGACGAUCUGUAACUGGUCUGAGAGGAUGAUCAGUCACACCGGAACUGAGACACGGUCCGGACUCCUACGGGAGGCAGCAGUGGGGAAUAUUGGACAAUGGGGGCAACCCUGAUCCAGCCAUGCCGCGUGUGUGAAGAAGGCCUUUUGGUUGUAAAGCACUUUAAGCAGGGAGGAGAGGCUAAUGGUUAAUACCCAUUAGAUUAGACGUUACCUGCAGAAUAAGCACCGGCUAACUCUGUGCCAGCAGCCGCGGUAAUACAGAGGGUGCGAGCGUUAAUCGGAAUUACUGGGCGUAAAGCGAGUGUAGGUGGCUCAUUAAGUCACAUGUGAAAUCCCCGGGCUUAACCUGGGAACUGCAUGUGAUACUGGUGGUGCUAGAAUAUGUGAGAGGGA
rnacentral:rRNA from 1 species